rnacentral:rRNA from 1 species
UACGUAGGGUGCGAGCGUUGUCCGGAAUUACUGGGCGUAAAGAGCUCGUAGGUGGUUUGUCGCGUUGUUCGUGAAAACCGGGGGCUUAACCCUCGGCGUGCGGGCGAUACGGGCAGACUUGAGUACUGCAGGGGAGACUGGAAUUCCUGGUGUAGCGGUGAAAUGCGCAGAUAUCAGGAAGAACACCAAUGGCGAAAGCAGCUCUCUGGGACGGUACUGACGCUGAGACGCGAAAGCGUGGGGAGCGAACAGG